rnacentral:pre_miRNA from 1 species
UCCAACGUUUAACCGUUCGUCUUAUUUAAAAAAAUUAUAAAAAAAUUAAAAAGACAAGUCAUACAUAAAGUAUUGAUCAUGUUUUAUCAUUUAACAAUAAUAAAAAUACUAAUUAUAAAAAAAUUUCAUAUAAGACGGACAGUCAAACGUUGGACACGGAAACCUAGG